UCUGGCCGGCCAAAAGCCAGCCACGCCGCGGAUUAAUAGUUGCAUCCGUUUUAUUGGCCAGGAUGUAAUGGUUAGGUAAUA
rnacentral:ncRNA from 1 species